CAGUAGCCGCGGUAAUACAGAGGAUGCAAGCGUUAUCCGGAAUGAUUGGGCGUAAAGCGUCUGUAGGUGGCUUUUCAAGUCCGCCGUCAAAUCCCAGGGCUCAACCCUGGACAGGCGGUGGAAACUACCAAGCUGGAGUACGGUAGGGGCAGAGGGAAUUUCCAGUGGAGCGGUGAAAUGCGUUGAGAUCGGAAAGAACACCAAUGACAAAAGCACUCUGUUGGGCUGACACUGACACUGAGAGACGAAAGCUAGGGGAGCAAAUGGGAUUAGAUACCCGUGUAGUCCCUGUCUCUUAUAC
rnacentral:rRNA from 1 species